rnacentral:rRNA from 1 species
GACGAACGCUGGCGGCGUGCUUAACACAUGCAAGUCGAACGGAAAGGCCCUGCUUUUGUGGGGUGCUCGAGUGGCGAACGGGUGAGUAACACGUGAGUAACCUGCCCUUAUCUUUGGGAUAACUUCAGGAAACUGGGGCUAAUACCGGAUAGGAGCUCCUGCUGCAUGGUGGGGGUUGGAAAGUUUCGGCGGUUGGGGAUGGACUCGCGGCUUAUCAGCUUGUUGGUGGGGUAGUGGCUUACCAAGGCUUUGACGGGUAGCCGGCCUGAGAGGGUGACCGGCCACAUUGGGACUGAGAUACGGACCAGACUCCUACGGGAGGCAGCAGUGGGGAAUAUUGCACAAUGGGCGGAAGCCUGAUGCAGCAACGCCGCGUGCGGGAUGACGGCCUUCGGGUUGUAAACCGCUUUCGCCUGUGACGAAGCGUGAGUGACGGUAAUGGGUAAAGAAGCACCGGCUAACUACGUG